rnacentral:misc_RNA from 1 species
GAAAAUUAUUUUUUUUCUUUAUUUUUUUUUUCCCUUUAUGCUUCUCUAUAUCUUUUGAUAAAUGAGAAGCAAGAUGACUCAAUUCUUUUGACUGGCGCAUUGCCUGGCCAGCUCCCUGAAGAGUCACAACAGCAUUGCAAAAGCUACUUACUGCCUCAGGCCCUGCAGGCUGUUACCCGUAAUUGGUGAAAUUACAGGGGAUUUUGAGGUUAAGGGGGAUUAGGAUUUGGGCUUGCAAAGGGGCAUGGGUUUGAUCAAUUGAGAUGGCAGGGGAGAGUGGGGCUUCGGCCUCCUA